AUGAAUAAAAGUCAAAAAGAGACAAAUUAUUGUUAAUAAUUUAAAUGAAAAAAAUUCUUAUUCA
rnacentral:tRNA from 1 species